UAGCUCUGUGGCAGGGUGCUUGCCUAGCAUGCAAGAAACCCUGGGUUCAACCCCCAG
rnacentral:tRNA from 1 species